rnacentral:rRNA from 1 species
CAGCCGCCGCGGGAAUACGGAGGGGGCUAGCGUUGUUCGGAAUUACUGGGCGUAAAGCGUGCGUAGGCGGUUCGUUAAGUCUGUUGUGAAAGCCCCGGGCUCAACCUGGGAAUGGCAAUGGAUACUGGCGAGCUAGAGUGUGUCAGAGGAUGGUGGAAUUCCCGGUGUAGCGGUGAAAUGCGUAGAGAUCGGGAGGAACAUCAGUGGCGAAGGCGGCCAUCUGGGACAACACUGACGCUGAGGCACGAAAGCGUGGGGAGCAAACAGGAUUAGAUACCCCCGUAGUCCCUGUCUCUUAUAC